rnacentral:rRNA from 1 species
UACGUAGGGAGCAAGCGUUGUCCGGAAUCAUUGGGCGUAAAGCGCGCGUAGGCGGCCUCAUAAGUCCGUUGUGAAAGUCAAAGGCUCAACCUUUGAAAGCCGAUGGAUACUGUGAGGCUAGAGUCCGGAAGAGGCGAGUGGAAUUCCUGGUGUAGCGGUGAAAUGCGCAGAUAUCAGGAGGAACACCAAUGGCGAAGGCAGCUCGCUGGGACGGUACUGACGCUGAGGCGCGAAAGCGUGGGGAGCAAACAGG